AGGACUCAAUGCAGCAUGAACCCUGGGUUAGGGGAUGAGCAGGCUGGGGGCACGGCCCUCGCCAAGCUGCGGGAGCAGCCCAGACCCAGCAGAGAAGUCCUGACCAGCAUAGGGGUGAACGCGAGGCAACACAGCAGAGAAUGGGAUUUAUUCCUCUAACCUCAUGUGGCACCUAAGCACCAGUGACCACAGGAAAGGGCCGAAGGUCCCUAUUUGAGGACUACGAGCCUGGGGAAGAGGGGUACUUGGUCUGUACGGGACACUUUCAAAAUGAGUGGAGGAAAAUUAUCAAACAGUAAACUUGAAGGGAAAAGCUCUGAGAAGCAUGACGUUGAGCUGUCAACGGUAGAGAUGCUACAACAAGUGAAUUCUGUUAUGAGCACAAUGUGUGAACUGCACACCUUAUGCAAAGCUGCCCUUUGUCCAACUUUGAGGAGGAUGACUGAAUACAAAUUUUCAUUCCUGACCUUUGUGUGUGUUGCUGAUUGACCUGUAUAACGCAAUGCCUUCGACAAGCCAAGGGAUGACUGAAUAUCUGCAAGCAUGCAAAAAACCUGGCAAGCAAACAUCAGUAAUCAUAGCAGUAAUACAGGGUGUGCAAAUGGCUUAUCAAAUGGGUAAUGCUUUUAGACAUAGUAUCAGGGCUCUGAUGGGAUUUCCAAUACGCCAUGAAUUUCAAAUUCCAGUUCUGCAGUCUGUCUAUACUGUGUUUUGGUUUUCAGACUACAAGUGUAUUUGUCAUCUGCACACAGAAUAACUCCCUUCGCUGUAAAUUGCCAUUAAACAAGAUCAUGGCGCUAAAUUUUUUGGAAUCUAUUCUACCACUCUGUACUAUUCCAAGUGUAUCACAGAAAUGGUUGCAUAUACGUGUUAUAUAACUUGGCAUAUGACCUAGUGGUCUAAGCAUCAAGCUGUGUUUAAAAAAAAUAGAUUGCUUGCUGAUUUGAACCACAGACUGUCCUUCACUCUUCCAUGGUAGAUAGAUUGUUAUUGUGGCUGGGAGGGCUGUAUUGGACAAGCCCUUAGAAUUUAUACAAAAACAACUGCUGUACGCCCAACUUACCAAAGGAGAAAGGAAACGGGGAGGCCAAAAGAAAUGCUUUAAAGACAGCUUCAAGAUAAACAUCAAGAGAUGUGGCAUUGACACCACACACUGGGAGACUGCAGCCCAGGCUAGGGAUAACUGGUGAAGACUUGUCAGAGAGGGAACGUCCAGGGCAAGGUGAGGAAAAUCACCUUGCCCUGGUCACAGAAAAAUGCCAGAAAAGAAAGGAAAGACAACUGUCACUCAGCAAUCGCGGCCCAACCCUGUCUUCCAACACCAUCUGCAACGUCCGCCAACGAGCCUGUGGCUUCAGGAUCAGACUCCUCAGUCACCAAAGGACCCAUGAAAAAUAAAACCUGUGAAAAAGAUCAUCCCUGACCUCAAGAGAUCGACAACGAGAAUUUAUACAAGGGUCUGUGCAGAGGUCAACUCCUCUCUUGAAGUGAGUUAAGGCAAAAGCUAUCUGUACAAAUGAAAAAUAUUUUUUACAUGCACACAGUAUUACCCUCUGUUAUUACAGGUAUGCUCCAACUUCAAUAUGUAAAUGUCCUGUGCUCUGAAGUAGUUGAAGUCACAUCUGGCAAGCCUUAGUUGGUAACAUAAUAGACACAAGGAUUUAAGUUUGCAUGGAAGGCUAUGUAAUGGAAGAAUAUCUGUCCCCUCAUCAGAACUGUUCCAAUUAAUUCUACAUGUCAUUUAAACUCUCUGAAGGUCAUUACAGGGAAUUCUUAUCCCACAGAGCCUGACAACUUUUUAAAAUCCAUUUACUCAGUUACCAAUUGGAUAAGAAGCUUAAUGGUACAUAUGCUAGGCAAUAUGAGCUGAACUCAGCCAUGCUGGGAUAACUUUGGGUGGGUGUCGCUGAAUACAUGUCUAAAAUGAUGAAUACAGAGAUACACAUGUAAGCCAAU